GUUGGAUCAGAGAGUGCCUGCACACAUGUUGUAGUCUGCUGAUCUUUUUGCUACAGAGAUGAUAAGCUGCAGCACGAGUUUUCCAAAGAAAGGCCAUACAGUGAGAGCUGAAAGAAUUAUCAAAUGAAAUGAUUAAUGCUGUAAAUGGACACUCUCCGUCCCUGUAUGAUGCACAGGGAGAGCUUUAUCAUGAGGAAAUAUAAUAAAAUCCUAUGGCUGAUGGUUUCCAGGCUGUCCAACCUGAACUGCACCCAUCACAGAAAUAUUAAUGACUUUAACUGAUGUUCUGCAUUUUGAAUGCUUUUCGAAACUGUGCUCUCUCAGAACUGAAAAGACUUGCUGUGAUUUCGUAAUUUACAUGGCAAAGAGACUUUGUUCUUCUGUGGUGUCAAAGGUAAUUGUUGGGCUAAUGAGAUUUCAGAUCAGACAUUUAUCUGACUAAAUAAACGGACUAGAUUCAACUUGUGAAACUGGCCAAGAGAUUAAUUUGAGAUGCGCAAAUGAAGGGAUGGCAUAUGGGGAAAGUAUUCUGUUCUGCAACAUGAAGGAAAACUCCACCAUCAUACAAGCUUUUCUAUCACAUGGUGUCACAUCUAUAGAUGCCAGGUUGGAUCCCUUACGUAUCCCAGAUAGCUUUCAACCAUUCGAACUAAUGGAGUAAUUGAUGGCAAUAGCUGUUUGUCAUCUCUGAUGUGAAUCAGCAUGAACAGCGAAGAAGGCACUUUGCAGAGAGCAGGAAACUGGCUGGAAGCCUCUGUCUGUACUCUGCCCUGCAGGAGGGUGAGCAGCGAGCACAGGAGGGACAGAGGUCACUGUCUUCGUGUCUGGCACCCCACACAGCCCAUCCUUGAGCAGCCACGGCUGUGCUUACAGGCAUUCUCGUCACAGGAAGCAUCAGGUAUUCUAAAUAGAAUAAAAAACAUGAAACAACACUAAGCUGUGCAUCCCAUCUGCAUUGCUGAAAUAUUUCCGCCCUCACUGGAAUGCUGUAGAGCCCUGCUGCUUAGGUGUGCAUAAAUAAGACCCUACUGGAAAAUUUCCUGGACACAAACUGCCAUCUUACGUUUACUCACUGGAGCUUAGGGAGAGAGCUACAAAUGCAAGAGGCAGCCUCUUUGAGAAACACAGCCAAAGCAGAUUGGGG
ensembl:lncRNA